UGCGGAGUAGAGCAGUCUGGUAGCUCGUUGGGCUCAUAACCCGAAAGCCGCUGGUUCGAAUCCAGCCUUCGCUA
rnacentral:tRNA from 1 species